UAAGUAAGUAAAUAAAUAGUUAGUUGAACCAUAUUAAAUGGGCAAAAGCUGGUUUCCAAUAAGAUGCAGUGAAAGUUCCAUAAUUCUAUUGUAGCUUUGGAAGUGAGAACUGAUUCUAUAUAGCCAUCAUUGAAACAAUGGAGCCAAAACUAAGUCAUCCCAGAGAAGAAGUUAUAGGAUGGGUUGCCAUGGAUAUAGCAAGAUGGGCCAGAGAGAAGAGGAUUGGAAACUUGGAGACUGUGAGAGCAUACUUCUUGGGGUCAUAUGGCGAUCUGGAACAGCCUUGAGAAGGCAUCACCAUGCUUCCUUCUAGAAAAUAUACAGUGGAUUUCAGGCUGAUUGAAUGAUACAACCAAAAAGAAUUAGCUGAUUGAUCAUAAGAAAAACCCCCAAAUCCAAGGUGCAGCUUGAACAGUGGAAUGAAGUUUGGCUGAAGGCAGAAAUGGAUGCUCAUCUGAAGGAGACAAAGGCUGAUAAACACAAGGGAUGCUUGGAAAUGGGAGAAAACCAUGAUGUGCCCACAUGACUGAAAUAGUCAGAUGAUCUCAAAACUGAAGCUCUACUUCCACCCAUAGUACAAUUCAGGACUUAAGAAUGGAAGGCUGGAUGCGAGGUGCUUGGGAAGAUCAGAGGGUCCCAAAAUUCUGAUUUUGCUCUGGAUUGGAUCCUAUACUGUAUAAGUGGUCCAGAAUUAGUAUAUUUACUCUACAGCUUUCACCUCCUUCACUUGGCUUCCUUUCAGUGAGCUCUUAUUGUACUUUUAGUUCAAACGCCACUUCCAGAUGGUUUUGAUCAUCAUUGUGAUUAUGGUAGCACUUUUACCUCUAUUUCUAUUUCUAAUGAAACAAUGUUUUCUACCCUGUAUUAUCAUUACUCGUGUAUAUUUUUAUGUCACCUCUGAACUUAAAAGCCCUUUAAGACAGUAUUUAUAAUCAAAUAUUAUUUCUGUUAAGAGACAACCAGCAUGAACUCUUGAAUUUGAUGUGUACAGUUUGUUGAAUAUAUAAAUGACUCUUUCUCUGGUUUCCACUCAGAGCUGUAUCUUCUUCCAAAGACUUCUGCUUGCCUUCAGUCCUGCCUAUAGAAGGUCCCUUUUCAUCAGUUGUCUUUUUUAUAGUUCUUGAGUUCCAUGGUAUUUGUUUCUUCUAACCAUUUCUUGAGCCCAUCUUGAGGAAAAGUUCAUAAGAUUUUCAGUUCUGUCAAAAAUGUUACUGGUGAUCCAGUCAAGCCAGCUUCAUCAUGGAUGAAGAAAAUUUGCCAAUCAGUAUUUGAGAGAGAGGUACUUUUCUUUACCCCGUAGCCUUGAAAAGCCCCAGUGAGUAAAAGUGUUAGAUUUCCUCCAGUCCUGAAAUCUUUGGAUCUUCUGGAAAAUUAGGAAUUCCUGGCAAAAUAUGUCUUAAAGAGAGAGAUUGGGGUUGGGAGAGAUAGUAGCUCAUGUAAUUCAGUCUCUUUAUUUUACAUAUGAAGAAUGGAAGGCCAAAAUGGCCAUGUAAUUUGCCUGAAUUCACCCAACUGCUUAGUGGAAGGCCCAGACUAAACCCAGGUGUCCUAGCUACUGGUCCUCUGAGGUGUUUUGUUUUGUUCUGUUUUUUCUCCACCAAUAUGAACUUCAUCUCUUAAAGAAAAUAAAUCCUACUGAUAUUUUAUCUACUGUUUUUGUUAGACUGGUUUGGUUCCUUGAGUCUUCCUCUUGUCCUCCUGCCUAUUCAGAGUGCUAGGCCAUUCUGAACUAAGAGCUCAGUCUCCAUGGCUCCAAGAGGCCACCAUCAAGAAAGAAUGCACUCCCAAGUGUCCAUCCAUUGGUGAAUGGAUAAAGAAGGUGUGGUAUAUAUACACAAUGGAAUAUUAUUCAGCCAUAAUAAAGAAUGAAAUCUUGCCAUUUGCAAUGGCAGAUGGAGCUAGAGAGUAUUAUGCUAAGCGAAAUAAGUUAGUCAGAGAAAGAUAAAUACCAUACGAUUUCACUCACAUGUGGAAUUUAAGAAACAAUACAAAUGAGAAGUGUGUGGAUGGUUUAGUUGGAUAAGCAUCUGACUCUUAAUCUCAGCUCAGUUCUUGAUCUCAGGGUCAUGAGUUCAUGCCCCACGUUGGGCUCCAUGCUGGGCACGGAGCCUACUUAAAAAAAAAAAAAAAAAAGAACACAAAAGAGCAAGGCAAAAAGGAGAGAGUGGCAACCCAAGAAACAGAUUCUUAACUAUAGAGAACAAACUGAUGGUUCGCAGAGGGGAGGUGGGGAAGGGGGACGGGUGGAAUAAGUGAUGGGGAUUAAGGAGUGCUUU